GAAAAACAUCUUAGUCAUUUGAAAUAAUGGAUUCUAUCUAUAUGGAGAUAAUUUUAUAUUCUAUAGUUACUGCACUCUUCAUAUAAGAAAUUAUCUCUUUCCCAGAUAUUUUAUAUGUAUAAAGACUUGUAUAACACAGAGAUAAUAUAGAAUAUUUCUAUCUCAAUUAUAACAUACUCGAAGUGUAUUGGUAUGUACUUUUUUAAACACAAAAGACUUUGGUCAAUUGUUCAUAUGAAAUGAGGGUCUGAGAUGAUACUUGUUUUAGUAACUUGAGCAUAAAUAAUAGUAUUUCUGUCAUGAAAAUGGCACAAAAUCUAUUUCCCACUGAAAUAAUAGAGAAAAUUAUCUUACUUUUAGUUAAAAUCUUUUAGAUGUCCCUUUCAGAAAAUUUUAUCUAAUCUGAAUGUCAAAAAUGUUUAAUACUGAUUUCUUUAUUUCUACCUUUCAGGAGAGGUUAUACAUCAGAGCAACAACAACUGCUGAGGCCUUCUCUUCUUAAACCAGAGGUAUCAAUUUUCACUUUUUUAUCAACCUCACUAAUCAUCACAAUACUUUUAUGUGACAUCAGAGAUUUUAUAUCCAUCUUACAGGGAGAAAAAAUGGGUUGGCUGCCAAUGUGGUACAAUUUUACAAGCAAGAUAUAAGGUAUCUUCCCAUUAAAAUAAAUAAAUAAAAAGACACCUUCAUACUGCUUUAAGGUGGUUCAGAU
rnacentral:lncRNA from 1 species